AGUGAACGCUGGCGGUAGGCCUAACACAUGCAAGUCGAACGGCAGCACAGUAAGAGCUUGCUCUUACGGGUGGCGAGUGGCGGACGGGUGAGGAAUACAUCGGAAUCUACUUUUUCGUGGGGGAUAACGUAGGGAAACUUACGCUAAUACCGCAUACGACCUACGGGUGAAAGCAGGGGAUCUUCGGACCUUGCGCGAUUGAAUGAGCCGAUGUCGGAUUAGCUAGUUGGCGGGGUAAAGGCCCACCAAGGCGACGAUCCGUAGCUGGUCUGAGAGGAUGAUCAGCCACACUGGAACUGAGACACGGUCCAGACUCCUACGGGAGGCAGCAGUGGGGAAUAUUGGACAAUGGGCACAAGCCUGAUCCAGCCAUACCGCGUGGGUGAAGAAGGCCUUCGGGUUGUAAAGCCCUUUUGUUGGGAAAGAUAAGCAGCAGGUUAAUACCCCGCUGUUCUGACGGUACCCAAAGAAUAAGCACCGGCUAACUUCGUG
rnacentral:rRNA from 1 species